CCUACGGGCGGCAGCAGUAGGGAAUAUUGCUCAAUGGGGGAAACCCUGAAGCAGCAACGCCGCGUGGAGGAUGAAGGUUUUCGGAUUGUAAACUCCUUUUGUUAGAGAAGAUAAUGACGGUAUCUAACGAAUAAGCACCGGCUAACUCCGUGCCAGCAGCCGCGGUAAUACGGAGGGUGCAAGCGUUACUCGGAAUCACUGGGCGUAAAGAGGGCGUAGGCGGGAUAGCAAGUCAGAUGUGAAAUCCUAUGGCUUAACCCUAGAACUGCAUUUGAAACUGUUAUUCUAGAGUAUGGGAGAGGUAGGUGGAAUUCUUGGUGUAGGGGUAAAAUCCGUAGAGAUCAAGAGGAAUACUCAUUGCGAAGGCGACCUGCUAGAACAUAACUGACGCUGAUGCGCGAAAGCGUGGGGAGCAAACAGGAUUAGAUACCCUUGUAGUC
rnacentral:rRNA from 1 species